CUGGUAGAAUAUUUGUAGCUAAUACUAACACGUGAUACAAAGUCCGUAGCAUUAAAUUCAUUGUUUACAGGUUUUGUGUUUUGUUCAAAAUCUUCAAACGGGUGCUUUAAUAGACAAAGUUCUCAUCUUUAUCUAUGUUUGCAGUUUUAAUAGCACACAUACACACCGACAAAGAGAAAAAUGUUAGGAUGACUAGCAUGAAACAACUCGUUCUAGUGGUCACGAAAAGACUCGGCAAAAUUUGUUGUUCUCUGGUUAUUCUCCUUUUCUCGGGAUAAGGAGGUGAUGCACAAAUGGUUGGUUGGAAAUCUGGAAUUGCCAUUAUUCUAUUAAAAAUUUAAAUAUGUAAUCUGCAAACUUCCUGCAUUUAUCGUCAGAUGGAGCAUCUGCUAUUAAUCAUACAAUAAUCCUAAUAUCUAGUUGAUAUGGCUCCGCACUUAUAUAUUCCGUCCUAUGCAUUGUAUUAUUGUGCUCUGGUAAAUGUUUUUGUAUUCUUGUCUUUCUUGCAUCAUAGGUCAAAGUACGGACUCCAACAAGAGCCUUGGCUCACACCAAACAGCAAGCCAGAAAAGGCCACACAAAUGACUAGUGUAAAACCAUAUCUGU
rnacentral:lncRNA from 1 species